GGUUGAACCAGGACAGACGGUUGAAACAGUUCAAACUUUGUUUCAUUUACUCUGUGCCACUGUGAUUUAUUUUCGACAAUUCAGCUUUUUAAAAAAAAAAUUUAAAAAAAAAACUCAACGAUGGAGGUACAAAAUAUAAUCUCGCGCUCCAAAAGUGAUUAGUCUCCCUCUGUCCCCCGUCACAUUCAGGCCGUGUAUUCACAAUGCGGCUCCACGCUCUCGUCGGUGCCGCUGUGGUUCUACCUCACUACAUUCUGGGACUCGUCCUUCUAGCACCUCCAGGUUCACAUUUAGACGGCGAUGACGAUAUAUCUGUAGAGAACAUCGACGUCGACGAUAGCAUCGACGACCAAGCUUGGACGAUACCAUUUAGCAACUUAGAAAAACAGUUUUUUCCGUCCUCCGAAGCCGGGAAUAGUAUUCUAUCCUCCGACUACCUACCUCUACGUAAAAAACACUCAAGGC